rnacentral:rRNA from 1 species
GGUAUUUUGACUAUACAAAGGUAUUGAAAUAAGGCUUUUAUUGGGUGCUAAGAGAAGGGAUGAACAGAGAUUGACUUUCUUUAAGAUUGAAAUGGAAUUUAAUUUAAAAAUGAAAAAGUUUUUAUGAGUUUUUGGGACAAGAAGACCCUAUGAAUUUUUUUUGUGAUUUUAUUUGUAAUUUUUGAUGAAGAAAAUUAAGUAUUUUUUUAAGUUGAUUGGGGUGAUUUUUAAAGAUUAGUUAUCUUUAAAAUUUGGAGGAAUUGGAACCAUGAUUUAUGGUUAUUUGAUUAAAAUACUCUAGGGAUAACAGCGUAAUUAUUUUGGAUAGUUCAUAUAGAUAAAAUAGUUUGCGACCUCGAUGUUGGAUUAAGAUUCUUUUAUAAUGUAGUAGUUAUAAGAAGGAGUUUGCUCAACUUUUGAAUUCUU